rnacentral:rRNA from 1 species
UACGUAGGGUGCAAGCGUUGUCCGGAAUUAUUGGGCGUAAGAGCUCGUAGGCGGUCUGUCGCGUCGGCUGUGAAAACCCGGGGCUCAACCCCGGGCCUGCAGUCGAUACGGGCAGACUAGAGUGUGGUAGGGGAGACUGGAAUUCCUGGUGUAGCGGUGAAAUGCGCAGAUAUCAUUUGGAACGCCAAUGGUGAAAACAGGUAGCUGGGAGUGUGCUGACGCUGAGACACGAAAGCCAGGGGAGCGAACGGG